UCCCUGGCAGUCCAGUGGUUGGGACUCUGCACUUCCACUGCAGGGGCAUGGGUUUGAUUCUCGGUCCGGGGA
rnacentral:tRNA from 1 species